GAUGAACGCUGGCGGCGUGCCUAAUACAUGCAAGUCGAGCGAACGGACGAGAAGCUUGCUUCUCUGAUGUUAGCGGCGGACGGGUGAGUAACACGUGGAUCACCUACCUAUAAGACUGGGAUAACUUCGGGAAACCGGAGCUAAUACCGGAUAAUAUUUUGAACCGCAUGGUUCAAAAGUGAAAGACGGUCUUGCUGUCACUUAUAGAUGGAUCCGCGCUGCAUUAGCUAGUUGGUAAGGUAACGGCUUACCAAGGCAACGAUGCAUAGCCGACCUGAGAGGGUGAUCCGCCACAAUGGAACUGAGACACGGUCCAAACUCCUAAGGGAGGCAGCAGUAGGGAAUCUUCCGCAAUGGGCGGAAGCCUGACGGAGCAACGCCGCGUGAGGGAUGAAGGUCUUCGGAUCGUAAAACUCUGUUAUUAGGGAAGAACAUAUGUGUAAGUAACUGUGCACAUCUUGACGGUACCUAAUCGGAAAGCCACGGCUAACUACGUG
rnacentral:rRNA from 1 species